GACAGAGGGUGCAACGUUGCUCGGAAUUACUGGGCGUAAAGGGCGUGUAGGCGGGAAGCAAGUCGGGCGUGAAAUCCCAGGCUCCAACCUGGGAACUGCACUCGAAACUGCCUUUCUUGAGUGUCGGAGAGGAAAGCGGAAUUCCUGGUGUAGAGGUGAAAUUCGUAGAUAUCAGGAGGAACACCAGUGGCGAAGGCGGCUUUCUGGACGAUAACUGACGCUGAGACGCGAAAGCGUGGGGAGCAAACAGG
rnacentral:rRNA from 1 species